GUACUCACUUUGGUAGCAUGGGUACAAAAAUAGGAAUGAUACAGAGAAAAUUACUAUAGGCCAUGAGCAAGAAUGACAUGUAAAUUCAUGAAAUUCUCCAUAUUUUU
ensembl:snRNA U6 U6 spliceosomal RNA